CUGCUUCCCCGGGGGCGCGAGCCGCGCGAGUAAAGGGGCGCCGCAGGCAGCAGCCGCCCGCCCGCGCCCCCCGCGCCCCGCGCCCCGCUCCCCGCGCCGCCCGGGGACGCCCUCGCCGUCUCUCUGUCGCGGGGCCUCUCCCUUUUCUCUCUCGCUUGGGUCCUGGUUGUGAAUUCACCCAGGGUCCAGGAUGACAAUCCGACACCAAGGCCAGCAGUACAGGCCGAGGAUGGCAUUUCUCCAGAAGGUAUGGAAACUGAGGCAAGUAAGGCCCAACCCUGGAAGAAGUGUUGACGUGAUGCCGUGAAGCUGGCCUCGCUCCAGUGAUAGAAACAAAGUACACGUGUAGUGGGAAGGAGCUUUGGAUGCUACUCCAGGAAUAGGGGAGGCACCCCCCGGGGAGAAAGCCUUGAACCUGAGACUGAAGGAUGCUGAGGCUUCUCUUGGGCCCAGAAGAAGCAGAAGAAGGACCAAGGCAGCAGGAGCAGCAUGUGCAGAUUUCACCUGGGAAAUUCCAGAGGUUUCAAGCCAACAUUGGGGGCCAACGGAUGCUUUAAUUUUAGAAAGAGACCAAAUGUGUAGAAUGAAAUCAGUCAUCAACAGGAAGGACCCGAGAGACUGUCUGUGAAGACCUCAGAUACAAACUGGGUGACCUGGUGCCACUUCAGGGAGGCCCAGCCGGAGAGAGGCUGUAAGCAGAAAAGCUUAAACCAAGUCAACUGCAUUGUACUCUUGCCUGUGAAAGUCCAUGUCAAGAGCAUCUCUGAAAGGGACGUUCAAAGAGACAAAAGGACUUAUCUUGCCUCUAGCACCCUGGGAGAAAAUGCUUUUUAUCCAGGAAAAUGAAUUUCUACCUCCCCCGACAGGUGCGUCUUAGAUACCAUCACACUUGGAUAGCAUUUUCCCUGUCCUGAUUCCACGCCAUGGGUCUCCAAUACCAUAUGCCCAUAGUGUACGAAUCUGGACUUCCAUGUCCAUCUUCCUUCAAGAAGGAGCACAUCGUUGGUGAAUAAAGUUACCCAGCUGACUGA